rnacentral:rRNA from 1 species
CAGUAGCCGCGGUAAUACAGGGGGUGCAAGCGUUAAUCGGAUUUACUGGGCGUAAAGGGCGCGUAGGUGGUUAUUUAAGUGAGAUGUGAAAGCCCCGGGCUUAACCUGGGAACUGCAUCCUAUACUGGGUAACUGGAGUGCAGUAGAGGGUAGUGGAAUUUCCGGUGUAGCGGUGAAAUGCGUAGAUAUCGGAAGGAACACCAGUGGCGAAGGCGGCUACCUGGACUGAGACUGACACUGAGGCGCGAGAGCGUGGGGAGCAAACAGGAUUAGAUACCCGAGUAGUCCCUGUCUCUUAUAC